rnacentral:rRNA from 1 species
GACGAACGCUGGCGGCGUGCCUAAUACAUGCAAGUCGAACGCUUCUUUCCUCCCGAGUGCUUGCACUCAAUUGGAAAGAGGAGGGGCGGACGGGUGAGUAACACGUGGGUAACCUACCCAUCAGAGGGGGAUAACACUUGGAAACAGGUGCUAAUACCGCAUAACAGUUUAUGCCGCAUGGCAUAAGAGUGAAAGGCGCUUUCGGGGGUCGCUGAUGGAUGGACCCGCGGUGCAUUGGCUAGUUGGUGAGGUAACGGCUCACCAAGGCCGCGAUGCAUAGCCGACCGCAUUGAGUGGUAGCCCACAUGGGGAGUGAGACGCGCCCCAGGCGCCUGCGGGAGGCCCCAGUAUGCUAUCGUCGGCAAUGGACGAAAGUCUGACCGAGCAGCGCCACGUCAGUGAAGAAGGUUCUCGGAGCGUAAAGCUCUGUUGUUAGUGGAGAACAGCUUCGGUAGUAACUGAACGGCCACUGACGGUAACUAACCAGAAAGCCACGGCUAACUACGUG